rnacentral:rRNA from 1 species
AUUGAACGCUGGCGGCAUGCCUUACACAUGCAAGUCGAACGGUAACAGGUCUUCGGAUGCUGACGAGUGGCGAACGGGUGAGUAAUACAUCGGAACGUGCCUAGUAGUGGGGGAUAACUACUCGAAAGAGUAGCUAAUACCGCAUGAGAUCUACGGAUGAAAGCAGGGGAUCGCAAGACCUUGUGCUACUAGAGCGGCCGGUGGCAGAUUAGGUAGUUGGUGGGAUAAAAGCUUACCAAGCCGACGAUCUGUAGCUGGUCUGAGAGGACGAUCAGCCACACUGGGACUGAGACACGGCCCAGACUCCUACGGGAGGCAGCAGUGGGGAAUUUUGGACAAUGGGCGCAAGCCUGAUCCAGCAAUGCCGCGUGCAGGAUGAAGGCCUUCGGGUUGUAAACUGCUUUUGUACGGAACGAAAAGCCCUGGGUUAAUACCCUGGGGUCAUGACGGUACCGUAAGAAUAAGCACCGGCUAACUACGUGCCAGCCGCCGCCGUAA